CUUGAACCUCUUCGUUCGUUCGUUCAUUCGUUCAUUCGUUCAUUCUGCAAAAAAGUUAUUCGUUAGUUUACAAUCUUUUUUUCUAUCGAUCAAUCUUACCCAUUUCCAUUUUCCUCCACUUCUAUCUUCACGAUAACGUGCGCGAGGAGGAACUUGUCUAACGUAAUGCAUAUCCAUCCGGAUGUCUACCAUGAUCAGUGGUAUUUUGUUACCGGGGGGUACGUACCUAGCGGUUCAAGUGGAAUUCAUAUCAGGGCAGAUGAAUAAAGGAAGUGUUAACGACUCGUGCCACGAGCUAACGCACUAAGGUAAUGUUUACCGCGCAAUCAGGUGGUAGCGCUAAAGAGGAAGAGGUUGCUCGCACCUUCCCGAUAACAAGGCAAAGCUGCUAUACUUAUACUGUAUUGCAGCACUGCGACAAUUUCUGUCAUUCGGUAGUUGCUUUCGAAUUAAUCAACUCCAUAUAAUACAAGUAUUUCAAUAAAAUUCAAUUCUUUUUUCUUUUCAGCACGUUCACUCCGGAUGCUGUAAAUUCGAAAUAUUAUCAUUAUUAUUAUUAUUAUUAUCAUUGAGGAUUAAACGAAAGGAGUAACAAAAGGCGUGCGCUAUGAAGAGAGCUAUCCAUCGACAGUAUGGUGAUAAUAGACACUGUCAUGGGGUUGCUCUCUUUGUGGAUGCCGCUAAAUUCAGCGACCAUCAGUAAUAAUGAAAAUAUAAACAACCUUCAAUUGGGUAAGUUAGAACUUAUGGUGAAUAGUGAUUUACCUAUCAUCAGGACCAGAUUAAGAUUUCUCGGGCCUCGAGGUUGUCAAAUCUUUUCGAGGGCCCCCUUGUAUGUAUGUAAACCGAAAUUUCUUUCAGCUGCAUGUUAUAAUAAACUUAAAACACUUUUAUGAAUGCUCUAUAA